rnacentral:rRNA from 1 species
UAGUCCACGCCGUAAACGGUGGGUACUAGGUGUGGGUUUCCUUCCUUGGGAUCCGUGCCGUAGCUAACGCAUUAAGUACCCCGCCUGGGGAGUACGGCCGCAAGGCUAAAACUCAAAGGAAUUGACGGGGGCCCGCACAAGCGGCGGAGCAUGUGGAUUAAUUCGAUGCAACGCGAAGAACCUUACCUGGGUUUGACAUGCACAGGACGUGCCUAGAGAUAGGUAUUCCCUUGUGGCCUGUGUGC